AUGCUAAUGCAGCCACAGAUUAGGCUAUGCUGUGCUGGUGCCAAGCCCAAACAAAUGCAGAGGCAG
rnacentral:ribozyme from 2 species